GUCGGUAAAACUCGUGCCAGCCACCGCGGUUAUACGGGAGGCCCAAGUUGUUAGAAGUCGGCGUAAAGGGUGGUUAAGAAUAAACUAGAACUAAAGCCGAACGCCUUCCGGGCUGUUAUACGCAUCCGAAGGUAAGAAGUUCAAUUACGAAAGUAGCUUUAUAUUUUCUGAACCCACGAAAGCUGAGACACAAACUGGGAUUAGAUACCCCACUAUG
rnacentral:rRNA from 1 species